rnacentral:rRNA from 1 species
CGCGCAGGCGGCGUCGUAAGUCGGUCUUAAAAGUGCGGGGCUUAACCCCGUGAGGGGACCGAAACUGCGAUGCUAGAGUAUCGGAGAGGAAAGCGGAAUUCCUAGUGUAGCGGUGAAAUGCGUAGAUAUUAGGAGGAACACCAGUGGCGAAAGCGGCUUUCUGGACGACAACUGACGCUGAGGCGCGAAAGCCAGGGGAGCAAACG